rnacentral:lncRNA from 1 species
GUCCCCAUGUUCCUUGGCAUGCCUGGCAGUAUUCCCAUGGGAAAUGAAGGUCGCCCGCUCUUGAAACGAGGUGUAUAUAAAACCAAGGUAUGGGCUGUUCUCUGUCCUAGGAUCCUAAAGAUGGGAAACAACUAACUCAUUAAUUGAUGCGAUGUAGUUGAUUAAAUAUAAAAUAUCAUGACUUCAAGCAAGCUAAAGCAUUGUGAUCGCCUACAUGCCACCCAAAUUGAUAAUGGAAGUAAUCACCGCAUAGAACUAUUUAUUAACAAAUACAAAAUGAUAUAUUUUAAUAUGUUCGAUCCAGAUAAAUGGAACAAUUAACCAAGAAUGGGCUAAAGAGACCUCAAUGAACACAUCAAAGAACUCAGGCAUAACUUGGUAUCAACUGAACUGUUUUUGGAGUGAGACAGAGUUGCUCAAGCAAGAAAGAUGCCUGUAUCUUCAGAUAACAAUUAUAUCUUGGUGAAGUUUCUCCAUGAUUGGUGACAUAUGAAGCCUUUUCAGGCAAGCAUAAUGCACCGUCACUAUAUAUGAAUUUGAUAACGUUAUAAUCAUAAGCAAGGAAAAUAUUACGUAAAGAAAUUGAGCAAGUACCAGCAUGUGGGGCGAAAACUUACCAUUCCGGAACCUAUCAGAUAUUGGAUUGUUUUCUCAAUUUGCCUCAUGUCCACUCUACCAGAAAGGUAUAGAUACUUGUUGAGAAGGUCUCCAUGUCUGUUCUCCUCAGCAGUCCAAGCCCUUGUCCAGAUAGCCCAAGAAGUAAGGCUUGCCCCUGUCUCAUCUCGAACUCCAUCAAGUGUGUUAAGCAUUGUUUGAUAUGUAGGAAGAGCUUCUUCAGUAAUCAUAUCUCCAACCAGGCAAACAUAAUAAUCAUCAGGGAUCUCCUUGGAGCGUUCUCUCAGUUCCUUAAUCUCUUCAUGAAAUCCUUCUGAUGAUGGAUCAGGCAGAAAAUCCUGGGGCUGCCAACACUUCUCAACAGGCUUGAGAUGCACCAAUAUAUUAUUUUCUGCCCAGUCCUCUAAUGACUUAAAAAUCUCAAU